ACUUUUUUGUAGCAAAAUGUUUUAUAAUUAGAUUCAUUUUCAUGUUGUGAAGAAUACAACUUUCUACAUCAGAUGAGAUAUAUGUUAAAGAAAGCAUUAAAAAUAAGAAUAACAAAUCAUACCGCUCUUCAUUGCCAGAACCUCCGCCACCUAUUAUGAAUAAGCCCAAUGCUAAAAAGUUGUUAUCAGAUUCAUAGAUUGAAGAUGUUUUUUCUUCACAUUUUAUUGAUGAACACAAUAAAACCAAGCAAAGUUCACAUUGUCAAAGAGUUUCAAGUUUUAAUAGAUGCAAAAUGCUAUUCUCAACGAGCUUGCAGAAAUAAAAGUUCUUUUAAAAGAAGUUAUAGAAAUUAAGUUUCAGGCUACUGGGGUGAAGUUGCUAGAAUCAGUGGAUGAAGUGGUUACACUGGAUAAUAAACCAAAAGAUAAAACCGAGUAUACUAGUUAGGUAUUAUCUAAUUA